CACUAUAGAGUCUGUCUAACUCUAGGACUGCUUAAAGGAAAGAUAAUCACAAUUGCUACAACAUCAGAGGAUUGUUGAAAAAAGAGAAUGAGCAAGAUAAAGGAAUCCUGGUUUCAUGCUGGAUUCCCAGAAUCCCUUCACAUUAGCCCCCCAGAAGCUUCAGGGAUUGCAUACAAACUCUGGUGACUUCAGAGGUGGUGCUGAUUUCACAUUUGUUCCCGGGACACGAUGAGAGACACAGGAGCCAAAGGAAACACCACCCACAGCAGCGUUCCAGUUGUAACCGAUGUUUGCCUGAGUUUACUUGCUUGUGAUGCAGACAGGUGCACAUUAAAAAUAAUAAUCUUCGAUUCUCUCUGGUUCUUGCUUCUAGAAGCCAAUGCAAGGCCUUCAUCAUCUUCAUUUCAAGGCUUAGGCCGAGUUUCCUGGGAAUCCUGUGAAUCCUUGGAGAAGUCGAUGCUCCAGAUGUGCUUCCAAGUUGAGCGGCUCACCAGCAACCUGAACUUCGCGACGUUUUUGUUUCUCCUUGCAUUUGCAUUCUCAGGGACAGGAGGUUCCGUCGCAAUUGUCCUGGGUUCCAGCCCAUCAAAGCCAGUGAUCAAAAGAGCACAAAGGACACUGGGCACUUGAAGAAUAAGAAAAGGAGUGGCUGAAUGUGGGGACUAGACACAGAAGGGAAGUGGCUGCAAAGGGGGAGAGGGGACGGGGGAG
rnacentral:lncRNA from 1 species